rnacentral:rRNA from 1 species
AUACGGAGGGUGCAAGCGUUGUCCGGAUUUAUUGGGUUUAAAGGGUGUGUAGGCGGUGUAUUAAGUCAGUGGUGAAAGCCUGCGGCUCAACCGUAGAACUGCCAUUGAUACUGACACACUUGAGUAUGGACGAGGUAGGCGGAAUUUAUGGUGUAGCGGUGAAAUGCAUAGAUACCAUAAAGAACACCGAUAGCGAAGGCAGCUUACUAGGCCAUAACUGACGCUGAGGCACGAAAGCGUGGGGAGCGAACAGGAUUAGAAACCCCAGCAGUCC